GGGUUCUGCAAAUUGAAAAGAUUGGUAAUUGAAGAUACAUAUUUGGAACGUUGGAAUGCUGUGGGUGACAAUUUCCCUGUGCUAGAAUGUUUAGAGUUACGUAAUUGCUAUUGUUUGCCAGAGAUUCCUAGUGGUUUUGUGCAUAUCACCACACUAGCACUGAUUUGGUUAAACUGUUGUUGGGAUUCCGUUCUGACUUCGGCAAAGUUGAUUCAAGAAGAGCAAUACAACAACUAUGGAAAUGCUCUCCGUGUUCGUUCAGAACGUAUUUGGGAAGAUAAGAUGAGGAGGAAGAGGGUGAUCAAUGAAUGAAUGACUGCAUAUAUAAUGGGUUUUGCAUUUGCUUAUUGUGGAUUAGGCAGUUGGGGCAGCUUGAGAAGAAAAUUAUCAAAGAUCUAAAUCUUGAGCGUAUUCUGGGUAGCGAUAUCCCAUGGACAACUAGUUUUCUUCCAAAUCUUAAGAAGGUCAACUUCAUUGAUACUUAUCGUUUGCCAUGGAGUGAUAUGAGGAGGUGCUUCUGCAGCUGAAUCCCAGAUCUCCAAAAAUCAAGUUCAGAGGCACAAAUGAGAGGUGUUGGAUGUUUUGGUGAUCUGAAAUGGUUUGUGUUUCUGGGUUGAAGUUGCU